AGGACGAACGCUGGCGGCGUGCUUAACACAUGCAAGUCGAGCGGUAAGGCCCUUUCGGGGGUACACGAGCGGCGAACGGGUGAGUAACACGUGGGUGACCUGCCCUUAGCUCUGGGAUAAGCCUGGGAAACUGGGUCUAAUACCGGAUAUGACCUCGCGAUGCAUGUCGUGGGGUGGAAAGCCUUGUGCGGCUAGGGAUGGGCCCGCGGCCUAUCAGCUUGUUGGUGGGGUGAUGGCCUACCAAGGCGACGACGGGUAGCCGGCCUGAGAGGGCGACCGGCCACACUGGGACUGAGACACGGCCCAGACUCCUACGGGAGGCAGCAGUGGGGAAUCUUGCGCAAUGGGCGAAAGCCUGACGCAGCGACGCCGCGUGAGGGAUGACGGCCUUCGGGUUGUAAACCUCUUUCAGCAGGGACGAAGCGAAAGUGACGGUACCUGCAGAAGAAGCACCGGCCAACUACGCGCCAGCAGCCGCGGUA
rnacentral:rRNA from 1 species